CAGCAGCCACGGGAAUACAGAGGAUUUAAGCGUUAUCCGGAAUGAUUGGGCGUAAAGGGCUCGCAGGCGGUUUCUUAGGUCUGAUGUGAAAGCCCCCGGCUCAACCGGGGAGGGUCAUUGGAAACUGGGAAACUUGAGUGCAGAGGAGGAGAGUGGAAUUCCACGUGUAGCGGUGAAAUGCGUAGAGAUGUGGAGGAAUACCAGUGGCGAAGGCGACUCUCUGGUCUGUAACUGACGCUGAGGAGCGAAAGCGUGGGGAGCAAACAGGAUUAGAUACCCCCGUAGUCCCUGUCUCUUAUAA
rnacentral:rRNA from 1 species